UACGGAGGAUCCAAGCGUUAUCCGGAUUUAUUGGGUUUAAAGGGUGCGUAGGCGGCACGCUAAGUCAGGGGUGAAAGACGGCAGCUUAACUGUCGCAGUGCCUUUGAUACUGGUGUGCUUGAAUAUACAUGAGGUAGGCGGAAUGAGACAAGUAGCGGUGAAAUGCAUAGAUAUGUCUCAGAACUCCGAUUGCGAAGGCAGCUUACUAAGGUAUUAUUGACGCUGAGGCACGAAAGCGUGGGGAUCAAACAGG
rnacentral:rRNA from 1 species